AAUGUAUUUCAGCUCUGACUUCUGUUUCCUGAACUGCAAAUGCUGUGUGUCAGAUUCGCAAACUAGUCCUGCAUUCAAGUCAUUCACCAUUUUGUUCUCAGAGAAAAGAGUUGAAGUAUUUUAAACACUCAACAGCACUGUAGCUGAUGUUCUAAUGAAGCAAAACACACUGUGGGCUCAGAGGAAGACUUCGCUGUGCAUUUACGAGUUUAUCGCAUCUCUGGGUUUCGGUAUCCUGAUUAGAAGGGAGUGGCAUUUGACUAAUUCUGGAAAGAUGUGUUUGCUAGAUGGAAAACAGGGCUGAAGAAGGCAUCUGAAGUUCCGAGAGAUGGAAGUCACAGCGAGUGCAGAAUGACAAGUACGACAAUGUCAACAGAUUCUCUUCUGACAUGACCAAGCUCUGGGUUGGCACUAAUAUCGCCCUCACAGUCCUCCUGAACCUCCUGCUUUCCCAAGGAAUAAACCCACCGUGGCGCAGCUGCAAUUGUAAGCUACAUGGACUUGUAACUAAUUUUUUAUGCUACUCUUUUCCUCUGUUGACUAUCAAUGCCACAUUUGUAGGAACUGUGUUCCAAUGUCUGCCUUUGGGUUUCUCUCCAAUUGAAAGACACAACAUAAACGUUGUAGUUAAAAUGAUGCAAGUGAAAUCCCAACUGCUACUUUCUUUCUCUGGAAAUUGGGGCGAGGUAUUUAAGUUCCUUGAAUUUUUAAAAAUGAGGAUAAUAAUACCUGUGUCCAGGAUGCAAAAAAUAAAAUAGUUCCUUCUUCAAUCCAACUCACACAUACGUAAAGAGAGCUCAUUACCUAUUCGUAAUUCCAAGUAUUACUGUAUUUGCUACUAACAAAAUAAAGGUGAAAAAGGCAUGA